CCUACGGGCGGCAGCAGUGGGGAAUAUUGGGCAAUGGGCGGGAGCCUGAACCAGCCAAGCCGCGUGAAGGAUGACGGUCCUGCGUGUUGUAAACUUCUUUUGUAAGGGAAUAAAGUGCGGCACGAGUGCCUGUUUGUGGGUACUUUAUGAAUAAGGAUCGGCUAACUCCGUGCCAGCAGCCGCGGUAAUACGGAGGAUCCGAGCGUUAUCCGGAUUUAUUGGGGUUAAAGGGAGCGGAGAUGGGUUGUUAAGUCAGUUGUGAAAGUUUGCGGCUCAACCCUAAGAGAGCAAUUGAUACUGGCAGUCUUGAGUUCAGGUGAGGUAGGCGGAAUGCGUGGUGUAGCGGUGAAAUGCUUAGAUAUCACGAAGAACUCCGAUUGCGAAGGCAGCGUACUAAACUGCCACUGACACUGAUGCUCGAAAGCGUGGGUAUCAAACAGGAUUAGAUACCCGGGUAGUC
rnacentral:rRNA from 1 species